rnacentral:rRNA from 1 species
GAUGAACGCUGGCGGCGUGCCUAAUACAUGCAAGUCGAGCGAACAGACGAGGAGCUUGCUCCUCUGACGUUAGCGGCGGACGGGUGAGUAACACGUGGAUAACCUACCUAUAAGACUGGGAUAACUUCGGGAAACCGGAGCUAAUACCGGAUAAUAUAUUGAACCGCAUGGUUCAAUAGUGAAAGACGGUUUUGCUGUCACUUAUAGAUGGAUCCGCGCCGCAUUAGCUAGUUGGUAAGGUAACGGCUUACCAAGGCAACGAUGCGUAGCCGACCUGAGAGGGUGAUCGGCCACACUGGAACUGAGACACGGUCCAGACUCCUACGGGAGGCAGCAGUAGGGAAUCUUCCGCAAUGGGCGAAAGCCUGACGGAGCAACGCCGCGUGAGUGAUGAAGGUCUUCGGAUCGUAAAACUCUGUUAUUAGGGAAGAACAAAUGUGUAAGUAACGAUGCACGUCUGGACGGUACCUAAGCAGAAAGCCACGGCUAACUACGU